GACGUAGGGUGCAAGCGUUGUCCGGAUUUAUUGGGCGUAAAGAGUUCGUAGGCGGUUAUCUAAGUCUGGUGUUAAAGCCCGGAGCUCAACUCCGGCAUGGCAUUGGAAACUGGAUAGCUAGAGUAUGGUAGAGGUUACGGGAAUUCCUGGUGUAGCGGUGAAAUGCGUAGAUAUCAGGAGGAACACCUGUGGCGAAAGCGCGUGACUGGACCAUAACUGACGCUGAGGAACGAAAGCCAGGGUAGCAAAAAGG
rnacentral:rRNA from 1 species